GGGAAGGUGGCUCAGUGGUAGAGUGCUUGCCUUGCAUGCAUGAGGCUUUGGGUUUGAUUCCUCAGCAUCACA
rnacentral:tRNA from 1 species